GGGUUGUGAGGUUAAGCGACUAAGCGUACACGGUGGAUGCCCUGGCAGUCAGAGGCGAUGAAGGACGUGCUAAUCUGCGAUAAGCGUCGGUAAGGUGAUAUGAACCGUUAUAACCGGCGAUUUCCGAAUGGGGAAACCCAGUGUGAUUCGUCACACUAUCAUUAACUGAAUCCAUAGGUUAAUGAGGCGAACCGGGGGAACUGAAACAUCUAAGUACCCCGAGGAAAAGAAAUCAACCGAGAUUCCCCCAGUAGCGGCGAGCGAACGGGGAGCAGCCCAGAGCCUGAAUCAGUGUGUGUGUUAGUGGAAGCGUCUGGAAAGGCGCGCGAUACAGGGUGACAGCCCCGUACACAAAAAUGCACAUGCUGUGAGCUCGAUGAGUAGGGCGGGACACGUGGUAUCCUGUCUGAAUAUGGGGGGACCAUCCUCCAAGGCUAAAUACUCCUGACUGACCGAUAGUGAACCAGUACCGUGAGGGAAAGGCGAAAAGAACCCCGGCGAGGGGAGUGAAAAAGAACCUGAAACCGUGUACGUACAAGCAGUGGGAGCACAGAGCAAUCUGUGUGACUGCGUACCUUUUGUAUAAUGGGUCAGCGACUUAUAUUCUGUAGCAAGGUUAACCGAAUAGGGGAGCCGAAGGGAAACCGAGUCUUAACUGGGCGUUAAGUUGCAGGGUAUAGACCCGAAACCCGGUGAUCUAGCCAUGGGCAGGUUGAAGGUUGGGUAACACUAACUGGAGGACCGAACCGACUAAUGUUGAAAAAUUAGCGGAUGACUUGUGGCUGGGGGUGAAAGGCCAAUCAAACCGGGAGAUAGCUGGUUCUCCCCGAAAGCUAUUUAGGUAGCGCCUCGUGAAUUCAUCUCCGGGGGUAGAGCACUGUUUCGGCAAGGGGGUCAUCCCGACUUACCAACCCGAUGCAAACUGCGAAUACCGGAGAAUGUUAUCACGGGAGACACACGGCGGGUGCUAACGUCCGUCGUGAAGAGGGAAACAACCCAGACCGCCAGCUAAGGUCCCAAAGUCAUGGUUAAGUGGGAAACGAUGUGGGAAGGCCCAGACAGCCAGGAUGUUGGCUUAGAAGCAGCCAUCAUUUAAAGAAAGCGUAAUAGCUCACUGGUCGAGUCGGCCUGCGCGGAAGAUGUAACGGGGCUAAACCAUGCACCGAAGCUGCGGCAGCGACGCUUAUGCGUUGUUGGGUAGGGGAGCGUUCUGUAAGCCUGUGAAGGUGUACUGUGAGGUACGCUGGAGGUAUCAGAAGUGCGAAUGCUGACAUAAGUAACGAUAAAGCGGGUGAAAAGCCCGCUCGCCGGAAGACCAAGGGUUCCUGUCCAACGUUAAUCGGGGCAGGGUGAGUCGACCCCUAAGGCGAGGCCGAAAGGCGUAGUCGAUGGGAAACAGGUUAAUAUUCCUGUACUUGGUGUUACUGCGAAGGGGGGACGGAGAAGGCUAUGUUGGCCGGGCGACGGUUGUCCCGGUUUAAGCGUGUAGGCUGGUUUUCCAGGCAAAUCCGGAAAAUCAAGGCUGAGGCGUGAUGACGAGGCACUACGGUGCUGAAGCAACAAAUGCCCUGCUUCCAGGAAAAGCCUCUAAGCAUCAGGUAACAUCAAAUCGUACCCCAAACCGACACAGGUGGUCAGGUAGAGAAUACCAAGGCGCUUGAGAGAACUCGGGUGAAGGAACUAGGCAAAAUGGUGCCGUAACUUCGGGAGAAGGCACGCUGAUAUGUAGGUGAAGUCCCUCGCGGAUGGAGCUGAAAUCAGUCGAAGAUACCAGCUGGCUGCAACUGUUUAUUAAAAACACAGCACUGUGCAAACACGAAAGUGGACGUAUACGGUGUGACGCCUGCCCGGUGCCGGAAGGUUAAUUGAUGGGGUUAGCGCAAGCGAAGCUCUUGAUCGAAGCCCCGGUAAACGGCGGCCGUAACUAUAACGGUCCUAAGGUAGCGAAAUUCCUUGUCGGGUAAGUUCCGACCUGCACGAAUGGCGUAAUGAUGGCCAGGCUGUCUCCACCCGAGACUCAGUGAAAUUGAACUCGCUGUGAAGAUGCAGUGUACCCGCGGCAAGACGGAAAGACCCCGUGAACCUUUACUAUAGCUUGACACUGAACAUUGAGCCUUGAUGUGUAGGAUAGGUGGGAGGCUUUGAAGUGUGGACGCCAGUCUGCAUGGAGCCGACCUUGAAAUACCACCCUUUAAUGUUUGAUGUUCUAACGUUGACCCGUAAUCCGGGUUGCGGACAGUGUCUGGUGGGUAGUUUGACUGGGGCGGUCUCCUCCUAAAGAGUAACGGAGGAGCACGAAGGUUGGCUAAUCCUGGUCGGACAUCAGGAGGUUAGUGCAAUGGCAUAAGCCAGCUUGACUGCGAGCGUGACGGCGCGAGCAGGUGCGAAAGCAGGUCAUAGUGAUCCGGUGGUUCUGAAUGGAAGGGCCAUCGCUCAACGGAUAAAAGGUACUCCGGGGAUAACAGGCUGAUACCGCCCAAGAGUUCAUAUCGACGGCGGUGUUUGGCACCUCGAUGUCGGCUCAUCACAUCCUGGGGCUGAAGUAGGUCCCAAGGGUAUGGCUGUUCGCCAUUUAAAGUGGUACGCGAGCUGGGUUUAGAACGUCGUGAGACAGUUCGGUCCCUAUCUGCCGUGGGCGCUGGAGAAUUGAGGGGGGCUGCUCCUAGUACGAGAGGACCGGAGUGGACGCAUCACUGGUGUUCGGGUUGUCAUGCCAAUGGCACUGCCCGGUAGCUAAAUGCGGAAGAGAUAAGUGCUGAAAGCAUCUAAGCACGAAACUUGCCCCGAGAUGAGUUCUCCCUGACUCCUUGAGAGUCCUGAAGGAACGUUGAAGACGACGACGUUGAUAGGCCGGGUGUGUAAGCGCAGCGAUGCGUUGAGCUAACCGGUACUAAUGAACCGUGAGGCUUAACCUUACAACGCCGAAG
rnacentral:rRNA from 1 species